UGCGACCAGGCCUAUCACCGGUCUCAUUCUGGCGCAUUGACAAACUCUCCGGUAAUCAAGAAUGGUGAAGGCCACAGCUGAGAGUCACGUUGUUAUGUGUGGACACAGCUGUAGAUGACCAACCACACAUUCACAGUUGAUUACAACAAGAUGUUUUUGAAUGGUGUAGCUGUGGUGCCAUGAUGACAACAGAGAAUGUGUUGCAGGGAGACACACAAGGCGUACAAGACCUUCAUCCGCUGCUGCUGGGUCCAUCUUGGGAGAAUGGUGAGGUCUGUAAUUCCCUUAUGUGAAGUCCUUCCCAUACGCAAGGAGUUCCCUGAUGAUGACUUCAGGCUGCCCCUCAACUGAAAUGCCUGACACAGCCUCUCGUACUGAGAGACAGAGAUCUUCUGAACCUCAUCAUUGUAUGGUGCAGGGUCUUUAAAGACUUGGUCAAACAGGACCUCCAGUUCUUGGAUGUUACCUGUAAAACAUUUGUACAGUGAUGUUUGUAAAAUAUUUUAUUUAUGUAAAUUGUAUUUACUUUGUGAUAAAAAUACAUUUUGUAAUCAAAACAUUUUGUGUAUCUUGCCAUAUGUUGGCCCUGUUUUCACUGAUUAGCUUUGCAGUACCCCGUCUUUGCCUUCCGAUAUUUUAUUUUAUAGAUCGGCUUCCCUGAUGAGCUGGUUGCUUUAGGGUGAUUAGCAUUUUCAUUGAAGUGCAUUGCAGGCAAGUACAACCUGAAUAACAAAAUCUGUGUAAAUUACUGAACUGAGACUUUGAACACCAGUUCA